CAGACAGCCAGGAUGUUGGCUUAGAAGCAGCCAUCAUUUAAAGAAAGCGUAAUAGCUCACUGGUCGAGUCGGCCUGCGCGGAAGAUGUAACGGGGCUAAACCAUGCACCGAAGCUGCGGCAGCGACGCUUAUGCGUUGUUGGGUAGGGGAGCGUUCUGUAAGCCGUUGAAGGUGUGCUGUGAGGCAUGCUGGAGGUAUCAGAAGUGCGAAUGCUGACAUAAGUAACGAUAAAGCGGGUGAAAAGCCCGCUCGCCGGAAGACCAAGGGUUCCUGUCCAACGUUAAUCGGGCAGGGUGAGUCGACCCUAAGGCGAGGCCGAAAAGGCGUAGUCGAUGGGAAACAGGUUAAUAUUCCUGUACUUGGUGUUACUGCGAAGGGGGGACGGAGAAGGCUAUGUUAGCCGGGCGACGGUUGUCCCGGUUUAAGCAUGUAGGCGGAGGUUCCAGGUAAAUCCGGUUCCUUUAACGCUGAGGUGUGAUGACGAGGCACUACGGUGCUGAAGUAACAAAUGCCCUGCUUCCAGGAAAGCCUCUAAGCAUCAGGUAACACGAAAUCGUACCCCAAACCGACACAGGUGGUCAGGUAGAGAAUACCAAGGCGCUUGAGAGAACUCGGGUGAAGGAACUAGGCAAGAUGGUGCCGUAACUUCGGGAGAAGGCACGCUGAUGUGUAGGUGAAGCCCCUGCGGGUGGAGCUGAAAUCAGUCGAAGAUACCAGCUGGCUGCAACUGUUUAUUAAAAACACAGCACUGUGCAAACACGAAAGUGGACGUAUACGGUGUGACGCCUGCCCGGUGCCGGAAGGUUAAUUGAUGGGGUUAGCGGCAACGCGAAGCUCUUGAUCGAAGCCCCGGUAAACGGCGGCCGUAACUAUAACGGUCCUAAGGUAGCGAAAUUCCUUGUCGGGUAAGUUCCGACCUGCACGAAUGGCGUAAUGAUGGCCAGGCUGUCUCCACCCGAGACUCAGUGAAAUUGAACUCGCUGUGAAGAUGCAGUGUACCCGCGGCAAGACGGAAAGACCCCGUGAACCUUUACUAUAGCUUGACACUGAACACUGGUCCUUGAUGUGUAGGAUAGGUGGGAGGCUUUGAAGCGUGGACGCCAGUCUGCGUGGAGCCAUCCUUGAAAUACCACCCUUUAAUGGCUGGUGUUCUAACGUAGACCCGUGAUCCGGGUUGCGGACAGUGUCUGGUGGGUAGUUUGACUGGGGCGGUCUCCUCCUAAAGAGUAACGGAGGAGCACGAAGGUUAGCUAAUCCUGGUCGGACAUCAGGAGGUUAGUGCAAUGGCAUAAGCUAGCUUGACUGCGAGAGUGACGGCUCGAGCAGGUGCGAAAGCAGGUCAUAGUGAUCCGGUGGUUCUGAAUGGAAGGGCCAUCGCUCAACGGAUAAAAGGUACUCCGGGGAUAACAGGCUGAUACCGCCCAAGAGUUCAUAUCGACGGCGGUGUUUGGCACCUCGAUGUCGGCUCAUCACAUCCUGGGGCUGAAGUAGGUCCCAAGGGUAUGGCUGUUCGCCAUUUAAAGUGGUACGCGAGCUGGGUUUAGAACGUCGUGAGACAGUUCGGUCCCUAUCUGCCGUGGGCGCUGGAGAAUUGAGGGGGGCUGCUCCUAGUACGAGAGGACCGGAGUGGACGCAUCACUGGUGUUCGGGUUGUCAUGCCAAUGGCACUGCCCGGUAGCUAAAUGCGGAAGAGAUAAGUGCUGAAAGCAUCUAAGCACGAAACUUGCCCCGAGAUGAGUUCUCCCUGACUCCCUGAGAGUCCUGAAGGAACGUUGAAGACUACGACGUUGAUAGGUCGGGUGUGUAAGCGUAGCGAUACGUUGAGCUAACCGAUACUAAUGAACCGUGAGGCUUAACCU
rnacentral:rRNA from 1 species